rnacentral:rRNA from 1 species
GGCGGCGUGCUUAACACAUGCAAGUCGGGCGGAAAGGCCCUUCGGGGUACUCGAGCGGCGAACGGGUGAGUAACACGUGAGUAACCUGCCCCUGACUCUGGGAUAAGCCUGGGAAACUGGGUCUAAUACCGGAUACGACACCUUAAGGCAUCUCAUGGGUGUGGAAAGUUUUUUCGGUCAGGGAUGGGCUCGCGGCCUAUCAGCUUGUUGGUGGGGUAGUGGCCUACCAAGGCGACGACGGGUAGCCGGCCUGAGAGGGCGACCGGCCACACUGGGACUGAGACACGGCCCAGACUCCUACGGGAGGCAGCAGUGGGGAAUAUUGCGCAAUGGGCGGAAGCCUGACGCAGCGACGCCGCGUGGGGGAUGACGGCCUUCGGGUUGUAAACCUCUUUCAGCAGGGACGAAGUUGACGUACGUGUACCUGUAGAAGAAGCGCCGGCUAACUACGUGCCAGCAGCCGCGGUAAUACGUAGGGCGCAAGCGUUGUCCGCAAUUAUUGGGCGUAAAGAGCUCGUAGGCGGCUUGUCGCGUCUGCCGUGAAAGCCCGUGGCUUAACUGCGGGUCUGCGGUGGAUACGGGCAGGCUAGAGGCUGGUAGGGGCAAGCGGAAUUCCUGGUGUAGCGGUGAAAUGCGCAGAUAUCAGGAGGAACACCGGUGGCGAAGGCGGCUUGCUGGGCCAGUUCUGACGCUGAGGAGCGAAAGCGUGGGGAGCGAACAGGAUUAGAUACCCUGGUAGUCCACGCUGUAAACGUUGGGCGCUAGGUGUGGGGGACCUUCCACGUUUCCCGUGCCGCAGCUAACGCAUUAAGCGCCCCGCCUGGGGAGUACGGCCGC